GUGGGGAAUAUUGGACAAUGGGGGCAACCCUGAUCCAGCAAUGCCGCGUGUGUGAAGAAGGUUUUCGGAUUGUAAAGCACUUUCGACGGGGACGAUGAUGACGGUACCCGUAGAAGAAGCCCCGGCUAACUUCGUGCCAGCAGCCGCGGUAAUACGAAGGGGGCUAGCGUUGCUCGGAAUGACUGGGCGUAAAGGGCGUGUAGGCGGUUUGUACAGUCAGAUGUGAAAUCCCCGGGCUUAACCUGGGAGCUGCAUUUGAUACGUGCAGACUAGAGUGUGAGAGAGGGUUGUGGAAUUCCCAGUGUAGAGGUGAAAUUCGUAGAUAUUGGGAAGAACACCGGUGGCGAAGGCGGCAACCUGGCUCAUAACUGACGCUGAGGCGCGAAAGCGUGGGGAGCAAACAGGAUUAGAUACCCUGGUAGUCCACGCUGUAAACGAUGUGUGCUAGAUGUUGGGUAACUUAGUUAUUCAGUGUCGCAGUUAACGCGUUAAGCACACCGCCUGGGGAGUACGGCCGCAAGGG
rnacentral:rRNA from 1 species